rnacentral:rRNA from 1 species
GUCGUGAGACAGUUCGGUCCCUAUCCGGCGCAGGCGGAGGAUAUUUGAGAGGAGCUGUCCUUAGUACGAGAGGACCGGGAUGGACGGGCCGCUGGUGGACCGGUUGGGGUACCAACCCCACGGCCGGGUAGCCAAGCCCGGGGAGGAUAAACGCUGAAGGCAUCUAAGCGUGAAGCCAGCCUCAAGAUGAGAUAUCCCAUUCGAAAGAAGUAAGACCCCUUGAAGAGGACGAGGUAGAUAGGGCAGAGGUGGAAGUGCAGCAAUGCAUGGAGCUGACUGUUACUAAUCGGUCGAGGGUUUGACCUG